rnacentral:rRNA from 1 species
GACGAACGCUGGCGGCGUGCUUAACACAUGCAAGUCGAACGGAAAGGCCCUGCUUUUGUGGGGUGCUCGAGUGGCGAACGGGUGAGUAACACGUGAGUAACCUGCCCUUGACUUUGGGAUAACUUCAGGAAACUGGGGCUAAUACCGGAUAGGAGCUCCUGCUGCAUGGUGGGGGUUGGAAAGUUUCGGCGGUUGGGGAUGGGCUCGCGGCUUAUCAGCUUGUUGGUGGGGUAGUGGCUUACCAAGGCUUUGACGGGUAGCCGGCCUGAGAGGGUGACCGGCCACAUUGGGACUGAGAUACGGCCCAGACUCCUACGGGAGGCAGCAGUGGGGAAUAUUGCACAAUGGGCGGAAGCCUGAUGCAGCAACGCCGCGUGCGGGAUAACGGCCUUCGGGUUGUAAACCGCUUUCGCCUGUGACGAAGCGUGAGUGACGGUAAUGGGUAAAGAAGCACCGGCUAACUACGUG